rnacentral:rRNA from 1 species
UUUCCGGUUGAUCCUGCCGGACCCCACUGCUAUCGGGAUAGGACUAAGACAUGCUAGUCAAGCGCUCUCCAGCCAAAGGAGAGUGCGGCGCACAGCUCAGUAACACGUGGCUAACCUGCCCUUGGGAUAGGGACAACCCCGGGAAACUGGGGCUAAUCCCCAAUAGGUGAAGUGCUCUGGAAUGAGCCUUCGCCCGAAAGGAUACUUGCGCUAUGCUCACAAGCUUCGCCCGAGGAUGGGGCCGCGACCGAUCAGGUUGUUGGUGAGGUAAUGGCUCACCAAGCCUUUAACCGGUGCGGGCCGUGGGAGCGGGAGCCCGGAGAUGGGCACUGUGACAAGGGCCCAGGCCCUACGGGGCGCAGCAGUCGCGCAAACUUUGCAAUACACGAAAGUGUGACAGGGCUACCCCGAGUGCCGUCCGCUGAGGAUGGCUUUUACCCAGUCUAGAACGCUGGGGGAAUAAGGAGAGGGCAAGUCUGGUGUCAGCCGCCGCGGUAAUACCAGCUCUCCGAGUGGUGUGGAUGUUUAUUGGGCCUAAAGCAUCCGUAGCUGGCCAGGUUAGUCCCCUGUUAAACCCACCGAAUUAAUCGUUGGAUUGCGGGGGAUACUGCCAGGCUAGGGGACGAGAGAGGCAGACGGUAUUUUCGGGGUAGGGGUGAAAUCCUAUAAUCCCGGGAAGACCACCAGUGGCGAAGGCUGUCUGCUAGAACGCGCCCGACGGUGAGGGAUGAAAGCUGGGGGAGCGAACCGGAUUAGAUACCCGGGUAGUCCCAGCUGUAAACGAUGCAGGCUAGGUGUUUGGGCGGCCACGUGCCGCUCUAGUGCCGCAGGGAAGCUGUUAAGCCUGCCGCCUGGGGAGUACGGUCGCAAGAUUGAAACUUAAAGGAAUUGGCGGGGGAGCACCACAAGGGGUGAAGCUUGCGGUUUAAUUGGAUUCAACGCCGGA